UAGUACUAAGUAAAAAACUAUAUUAAAGGGUUGUAAUGCACUUUUAAGAAGCACAGCUAAAUGUGAAUGUAUAAAGCUGUCAGGUAACCCUGUAUUUUGUUACGUUUUAGAGUAUGUGAAAAAGACUGAGUAGAGAAGAAACUGGAGUCAGGGCGACCCGCAGGUGCCAUAGUCAUUUGGUUUUAUAUUUAUUUAAAGCUAUGUACUCACUUAUAUAAGCCCCAUUUUGUAUCCUGACAAUGUCUUCUAGUGUUAAUAUGCAGUGAGUAAUAUGUGUUUGAUGGGUUGUAAAGAUACAUAUUAAGAAUGUUUAAAGGGCGCGGCUGAGGGGAGGAGAUGAUCUCGCGAGAGCUGUGAGCUGUGCGUAAGUAAAAUGGCGGCAUACAUGUAGUUCAAAAUUAAAUCCACUCAGGGAGCAAACUGGAAGAAGAGACCUUGACGAGCCUGGAGAGCUACCUGGACGAGUGUUUUGACAACAUCGUGAUG